rnacentral:lncRNA from 1 species
GUUUUGUGUGUCCUGCCGAAUGUUCAGCAGUUCAUCCCUGGUGAAACUGUACUGUUUUUGGAGGACGCACUACACAAUGACAAUUCUUGUGUUAAGCUUGAAGGAGAUGACAGUUAUUUUGUUGCCCUCGACAGCUCGAUGGCCAUUGAGUACAUCCAUUCCAAAAAUGUCAUCCAUCAAGAUUUAAAGCCACCCAAUAUUUUGAUCGACCAGUUCUCAAAAAAGGCUGUACUGACAGACUGGGGCCUUGCCAACAUCAGAGACACGGUUGUACUACGACAAGGAAGCAGACUUACUGGAGGAGGAAUAGGGCCAAUGGGUGAAACCUUUCUUUAUAUGGCGUGUCUGGUUGAAUUUGAACAGGCUUCCAGAAGUUCUGACAUCUGGUCUCUGGGAGCAACAUACCUGGAGAUUUUCACGAAUCAGUGCCAUGGACAGUAGAAAACCCAAAGAGAGUUGUGCAGUCUAAUGGCCAAAAAGGUGCCACCACAUGCUUUACAACAUCUGAGCGACAAGUACCAGUUUAUUGGUACAAUGUUACACUAUGAUGUAGCAUCGAGACCUGAAGCUUCCUCUGUGGUGCUGUCCCUAAAAACAGUGGAGGGGCCAGAUUUAAAGAGCCGUUAUGGUUACGAAUGGUAAAUGUUACAGAUUAUCACAUGGACUGUGCAAGUUGUCAUUUCAGUUUGUAGUACAAAAACCAAUGUUGGUAAAAUGUUAACAUUAUAAUCACAGCCGUUCUCUCUCUCUCUCUGUCUAACACUGCUGGUAUGUUUCAUUAUUUGUUUCAAUGUAUGUUCACAUCAUUAAACAUGUUUUGCAUCUUCAUUUGUAGCACUUUUUUAAUAAUUUGGUCCCUUUAUAUGUAUUUAUUUUGUUGAUGAGCAGUUUAAAAAGUCCCUGUCUCAUUGGCCAGCAGUUGGUAUAUUUCAUUUGCCUCUGCAAAUGUGGAUGGAAUGGGAGUGCCUCUUGUUUGAAGGACUGUGGUGAAUUUCUCCACCAACAUGAGGUAAGCCGCCAAAGACCCAUCUGGUGAUGAUGGUGAAGUUUGUAUUUUGCAGAAUAGCCUCUGAUAUUUUUCUGAAUUCUUCAUUUGCCACCAACAAAGGCUCAUCUACUCCACAAACAAGCUGUUCUGCAUACUUCAGGAGGUCGUUGUCUACUUUGCAGAGCAUAUCAGCAAAGCCUGCAGGAAGAUACAAAUUCCUUUUUCACAUUGAGUACUGCUUUUCUGAACCUUUUUAAUUUGGAUGAUAAACAGAUACCUUCGGGUGGGGAAGUAAAGAGAAGGUCUGGUUUCCCAAAUGGACCUGGAGCAUUCCUUUGCUUGCGAAUGUCGUGAGUGUUCCACAGUCUUUGCUCUAUGUUCAGCUCUCUCUCAAGAAGGGGAAGGUGUGUAUAUUGCAGGCAAUUUCUGUAGGUUAACAUGUAUUGUUAUUUUUUUCAUUUAAUGAGAGCAGAUACAUGGGGGCUGACAAGAAGUUUUAACUUACAUGUGUACAGGAUUGUCUAAAUUGAGCAUGCCAGAUUCCAUCAUGGCCUAAAAACACACAUUUUUUAGAUAAGUAAAUCUAUUACAAAAAUGCCUUCAAUUUAGCAUCAAUAAGCAUGUGCUAUACAUUCCAACUGAGACAAAAACAAAGUUCACCUCAAAUGAUCACCUGCCAUUUUUUGAUCCAUGUUUUCUUCAGCAUACUGUUGAAGCAUUCAGCUCGCAAAUAAAACAAAAUAAAUAUUAUUUCUUUUUAUAAUAUAUAUAUAUAUGUAUUGCAUGCAUUAUAAUAUAUAAAUCCAUUUAUGCUCACAUGCCUGGUUAUGUACUGAUGUGCUCACUCUGAAGGAGUCUCGUCCUUGAUCACCAGACUCCCGGAAGUGAAAUGCCACUUGCAUCUGUCCGACGAGAAGAUUUUCCUUUCCUCUGUCUGCCCUUAUGAAUCGUGGGCAACCUAUAAUAAAUACAAGUAAUAUUUUCAAUAAUAAUAAUAUUGUCUACUGAUAUAAGAAGCUCUCACCUAUCAUGUUCAUUGUAAGAUAUCAAAUAUACUUACC